rnacentral:misc_RNA from 1 species
AACUUUCGGCAACGGAUCACUUGGCUCUCGCAUCGAUGAAGAACGCAGCGAAAUGCGAUACGUAAUGUGAAUUGCAGAAUUCAGUGAAUCAUCGAAUCUUUGAACGCACCUUGCACCCCUUGGUAUUCCGAGGGGUGCACCCGUUUGAGUGUCGUGAACACCCUCAACCUUUUUGGUUUAUCAACCGAGAAGGAUUGGACUUUGGAGGGUAUUGUUGCUGGCAUCGAUGACACCCAGCGUCUCCUCAAUGAAGGCGUGGGGUCCGCUGAGCCGAUCCUGGACGUGCUAAGUACGCAUCUGCGUGUUGGCGUCUCGAUUUGAUGCGGUGGAAUCUCGCUUCAAAGAGUCGAUGAAUGAAGAAAAUGUUCGAGUCGUGUCUCGUCCUUAUUGUCGUUGCCCUCAAAUCGGGUGAGAGUGCCCGGUGAUCUGUUGCAUAUCAAUACGCGGAGGCU